rnacentral:rRNA from 1 species
UGCGUAGGUGGUUCCGUAUGUCGGAUGUGAAAUCCCACUGCUCAACGGUGGAACUGCAUUCGAAACUGCGGGGCUGGAGUGCAGGAGAGGAGAGCGGAAUUCUUGGUGUAGCGGUGAAAUGCGUUGAUAUCAAGAAGAACACCGGUGGCGAAGGCGGCUCUCUGGAAUGCUACUGACACUGAGGCACGAAAGCUGGGGGAGCAAACA